rnacentral:miRNA from 1 species
CUUCCGGUUGAUGAGGUGUAACAACCUCAUCAACCGGAAGGAAUCCCUUCCGGUUGAUGAGGUGUAAAAGCCUCAUCGACCGACCGGAAGGGAUUCCUUCCGGUCGAUGGUGUCGUUGUAUCUCAUCGGCCGGAAG